AAAUUAGAGUGUUCAAAGCAGGCAGAUCCAAUUUUCUGCCACCGAAUACAUUAGCAUGGGAUAAUGGAAUAGGACCCUGUCCUCCUAUUUUCAGUUGGUUUUGGCAGCGCGAGGACUAGGGUAAUGAUUAAUAGGGAUAGUUGGGGGCAUUAAUAUUUAAUUGUCAGAGGUGAAAUUCUUGGAUUUAUGAAAGAUUAACUUCUGCGAAAGCAUCUGCCAAGGAUGUUUUCAUUAAUCAAGAACGAAAGUUAGGGGAUCGAAGACGAUCAGAUACCGUCGUAGUCUUAACCAUAAACGAUGCCGACCAGCGAUUAGGAGACGUUGAAUACAAAACACCACCAUCGGCGCGGUCGUCCUUGGCGUCGGUCCUUCACGGGGCCGGCGCGAGGGCGGCUUAGCCCGGUGGCACCGGUGAA
rnacentral:rRNA from 1 species